rnacentral:rRNA from 1 species
CGUGUAGGCGGCUUGGCAAGUCGGGUGUGAAAGCCCGUGGGCUCCAACCUAGGAAGUGCACUCGAAACUGCUUCGCUUGAGGGUCGGAGAGGAAAGCGGAAUUCUCGGUGUAGAGGUGAAAUUCGUAGAUAUCGAGAGGAACAUCGGUGGCGAAGGCGGCUUUCUGGACGGAUUUCUGACGCUGAGACGCGAAAGCGUGGGAGCAAACGA